UUCUGCACAUGCACAGAAUCUGGGCCCAGGUGACUUAUGGAACCUUUAUAGAGACCAAGGUGACUGACAUUCAUGGGAAAGGGGGUAGAGGGGCAAGAACUGACUGUUCAUCAAAAAUUAUUAGAUGAGUGUGUCCACGACACCAGGAGAUAUGUUGAAUCAUGGACAGGGACCAGCAUAUCCACUAAGCUCUAUAUAUCUUGAUGGUGCAGGAUCCAAGUGGGAUGCAACAACAAAUUCCUGCCCAUCCUACUGCUCAAUAAUACAUGUGCUCAGAAUCUGUUCAUAAUGCAUGGUGAGACGGGAUCUCACUGUGUUGCUCAGGCUGGUCUCGAACUGCUGGACUCAAGUCAUCCUCCCAUCUUGGCCUCCCAAAGUGCUGGAAUUACAGUGGACAACCUUCAAUGCACUGGUACUUUGUACCCUGACCUCUACUGUGAUGAACACUCAACUUGGGCAAGAAAGUGAAAUUCUCCAAAGUGGGUUCUGACCCAAUCAGCAGCCUUUGCUUCUCAGAUUCCUCUCAAGGCUUUAUGACUCUUCUCACCCCAGGAAACCCUACAACACGCACGGCCUUUCAGAACUGCUACAUGGAAUGGACAUUCCUCUGGGCGCCAGCUGAAUGUUUGUAAAUAAAAUAAUGACUGCGUGUCCUUAUUUUUGCUGAGUACACAG
rnacentral:antisense_RNA from 1 species